UGCCAGCAGCCGCGGUAAUUCCAGCUCCAAUAGCGUAUAUUAAAGUUGUUGUGGUUAAAAAGCUCGUAGUUGGAUCUCAGUUCGAGUCAGGCGGUCCACUUGCCAGUGGCUACUGCCUGACUGAACACUUUACCGAGUUGUCCUAUGGUGUUCUUCACCGAGCGUCAUAGGCGAUCGGUACGUUUACUUUGAAAAAAUUAGAGUGCUCAAGGCAGGCGUAACGCCCGAAUAAUGUUGCAUGGAAUAAUGGAAUAGGACCUCGGUUCUAUUUUGUUGGUCUUCGGAAUCAGAGGUAAUGAUCAAUAGGGACAGACGGGGACAUUCGUAUUGCGGCGCUAGAGGUGAAAUUCUUGGACCGUCGCAAGACGAACUAAAGCGAAAGCAUUUGUCAAGAAUGUUUUCAUUAAUCAAGAACGAAAGUUAGAGGUUCGAAGGCGAUCAGAUACCGCCCUAGUUCUAACCAUAAACGAUGCCAACCAGUAAUUCGUCUGAGUUCCUUAAAUGACUCGACGAGGGACUUCCGGGAAACCAAAGUCUUUCGGUUCCAGGGGAAGUAUGGUUGCAAAGCUGAAACUUAAAGAAAUUGACGGAAGGGCACCACCAGGAGUGGAGCCUGCGGCUUAAUUUGACCCAACACGGGAAAACUCACCCGGCCCGGACACUGGAAGGAUUGACAGAUUGAGAGCUCUUUCUUGAUUCAGUGGGUGGUGGUGCAUGACCGUUCUUAGUUGGUGGAGUGAUUUGUCUGGUUAAUUCCGAUAACGAACGAGACUCUAGCCUACUAAAUAGAUCGUCGGCUUACAAACGCCGGCGAGACUUCUUAGAGGGACAGGCGGUGAUUCAACCGCACGAAACAGAGCAAUAACAGGUCUGUGAUGCCCUUAGGUGUCCGGGGCCGCACGCGCGCUACACUGAAGUGAUCAGCGUGCUUUUUCAACCUACUCUGUCAAGAGUGGGGAACCCAAUGAACCUUCUUCGUGAUUGGGAUAGGGGAUUGUAAUUAUUCCCCUUGAACGAGGAAUUCCCAGUAAGCGCGAGUCAUAAGCUCGCGUUGAUUACGUCCCUGCCCUUUGUACACACCGCCCGUCGCUACUACCGAUUGAAUGUUUUAGUGAGGUCUUCGGACUGGCCGGCGCAGCACUCUCGUAGUGCAGCGCUGUGUUUGGAAAGAUGCCCAAACUUGAACAUUUAGAGGAAGUAAAAGU
rnacentral:rRNA from 1 species